rnacentral:rRNA from 1 species
CUACGGGGUGCUCCAGUGAGGAAUAUUGCACAAUGGGGGGAACCCUGAUGCAGCAACGCCGCGUGGAGGAUGACGCAUUUCGGUGUGUAAACUCCUUUUAUAUGUCAAGAAAAUGACGGUAGCAUAUGAAUAAGCACCGGCUAACUCCGUGCCAGCAGCCGCGGUAAUACGGAGGGUGCAAGCGUUACUCGGAAUCACUGGGCGUAAAGGACGCGUAGGCGGGCUUGUAAGUCAGGUGUGAAAUCCUACAGCUUAACUGGAGAACUGCACUUGAAACUACGAGCCUAGAGUAUGGGAGGGGGAGAUGGAAUUAGUGGUGUAGGGGUAAAAUCCGUAGAUAUCACUAGGAAUACCUAAAGCGAAGGCGAUCUCCUGGAACAUAACUGACGCUAAGGCGUGAAAGCGUGGGGAGCAAACAGGAUUAGAUACCCCCGUAGUC